UAUCAGAGCCGGCCCUGUGCCCUCUGGCCGGUGGUGGGGCAAACCUCAGCGAGGACGCUGAGUCCCCAAGGGGGGGUGUAUGUGGCAAGGCCAGCACACCUUAGGCAAAUCCCACAUCGGUUAAGGACGGGGUAAACGAUCUAUACAUAAGAGGGGUAGCUUCUAACUUGGUUAGCGCGCUUUUGGGCGGGUUGCAAAGCCUGCCUGAGGGACAAAUCCGUGAGGGUUGCAAAGCCUAAAGCGGACAAUACUGACCAGGUCAGGGCUAUAACAAGGGGGGGUGUGCUGGCCUUCUAACUUGGUUAGCGCGCUUUUGGGAGGGUUGCAAAGCUUGCCUGAGGGACAAAUCCGUGAGGGUUGCAAAGCCUAAAGCGGACAAUACUGACCAGGUCAGGGCUAUGACAC
rnacentral:lncRNA from 1 species